rnacentral:rRNA from 1 species
UACAGAGGUCUCAAGCGUUGUUCGGAUUCACUGGGCGUAAAGGGUGCGUAGGUGGUGAGGUAAGUCGGAUGUGAAAUCUCGGAGCUCAACUCCGAAACUGCAUUGGAAACUACCUCGCUCGAGGGUUGGAGGGGGGACUGGAAUACUUGGUGUAGCAGUGAAAUGCGUAGAUAUCAAGUGGAACACCAGUGGCGAAGGCGAGUCCCUGGACAACUCCUGACACUGAGGCACGAAAGCUAGGGGAGCAAACAGG